rnacentral:rRNA from 1 species
CGGAGGAUCCAAGCGUUAUCCGGAAUCAUUGGGUUUAAAGGGUCCGUAGGCGGUUUGAUAAGUCAGUGGUGAAAGCCCAUCGCUCAACGAUGGAACGGCCAUUGAUACUGUCAGACUUGAAUUACUGGGAAGUAACUAGAAUAUGUAGUGUAGCGGUGAAAUGCUUAGAUAUUACAUGGAAUACCAAUUGCGAAGGCAGGUUACUACCAGUGGAUUGACGCUGAUGGACGAAAGCGUGGGGAGCGAACAGGAUUAGAUACCCUGGUAGUACCACGCCGUAAACGAUGGAUACUAGGCUGUUCGGAGCAAUCUGAGUGGCUAAGCGAAAGUGAUAAGUAUCCCACUGGGGAUACGUUCGCAAGAAUG